rnacentral:rRNA from 1 species
UGAGGAAUAUUGGUCAAUGGGCGGAAGCCUGAACCAGCCAAGUCGCGUGAGGGAGUAAGGCCCUACGGGUCGUAAACCUCUUUUGCCGGGGAGCAAGCCGUCCCACGUGUGGGCCGGUGGAGAGUACCCGGAGAAAAAGCAUCGGCUAACUCCGUGCCAGCAGCCGCGGUAAUACGGAGGAUGCGAGCGUUAUCCGGAUUUAUUGGGUUUAAAGGGUGCGUAGGCGGGAUGCUAAGUCAGCGGUAAAAUUGCGGUGCUCAACGCCGUAGAGCCGUUGAAACUGGCGUUCUUGAGUGGGCGAGA